ensembl:miRNA mir459 microRNA mir-459
CACCUGCCCGUGGCGUGCUGCUGUCAGUAACAAGGAUUCAUCCUGUUGUGACGCUGCAGACGGACAGGAAGUCAUUGUUACUGGGAGUGUCUGUCACAUGAUGUG